GUGGUUGUGGCUCAAUGGUAGAGUGCUAGCCUAGUAUGCACGAGGCACUGAGUUCAAUCCUCAGCACCACA
rfam:Ictidomys tridecemlineatus contig072502, whole genome shotgun sequence.